rnacentral:rRNA from 1 species
UACGAAGGGGGCUAGCGUUGUUCGGAAUUACUGGGCGUAAAGCGCACGUAGGCGGAUCGAUCAGUCAGGGGUGAAAUCCCAGAGCUCAACUCUGGAACUGCCUUUGAUACUGUCGAUCUAGAGUAUGGAAGAGGUGAGUGGAAUUCCGAGUGUAGAGGUGAAAUUCGUAGAUAUUCGCAAGAACACCAGUGGCGAAGGCGGCUCACUGGCCCGAUACUGACGCUGAGGUGCGAAAGCGUGGGGAGCAAACAGG